UGAGACUCCCUCUCAAAAAAACAACAAAAAAGUAUCAGCUCUUUGAAUCUAGGUAUAGAGGUUACUCAGUAAGAAGAUCAUAGUAAAUAAUUGCCUGUUCGUACACAAAGCAUAAGGCACCCUCUCUUUUCUCUGUGGCCUCUGGGUACAUGCGGUAGAUUUUAAAGUUUAAAAUUCAGCUUACCAACCUUUGUACCAUUUGUCAAUGGGCAAUUAAAUGUUAACAGUGAAUCCAGGAAAAUAGAGGAUGCUUCAAAGAAGGAAAUGCGAGAGUACACUGCACCCAAGCAGCCUCUGGCCUGAGGAACAAGGAACAGACCCAUGUUCUGGCCGUGGUGCGAGUGAAUGUUUGGCAUAGUCUGUCUGCUGGCAACAACAGAGGUUAUUACCUGAAAACUCAUUCUGGAGGUGGAGGAUGUUGGGGAAAGCUAAAGGCAAAAGAAUUCAUCACUAAAACUGUACUAUGAGAAAUGCUAAAGGAAGUUGUUCAGACUGACAGAAAAUUAUACCGGAUGGACACUUGAAUUUACACAAAGGAAUGAAGAGCACCAGAAAUGGCAAAUGUGUGGGGCCUCAUUUACCAUGAUUAUCCUGGGGUUUUUGGAAUGCCUGAUCCACAGGCCUGGAUUCUCACACCAGAUGGCAUCUGAGGAGACCUGCUUCAUCAUGAAGGCGGAGUGGGAGCAGGUCCUGACCAAUAGGAUUCAUCGUUCAUAUCAUAUACCACAGCCUUCACAAGUAGCCAUCCUAACAGAGCAUUUGAAUGAUCUGCUGAAGGUGUAACUGAAGUGCCGGCUUGGAGACAAGACUCUGCAAGUAUGGGGUACCACCCUCCAGGAUGAAAUAUAGGCACUAUAUUCAUGUUCUAUUGCUAGGUAACAAAUUAACACAAAUUUAGUGGCAUAAACAACACAUGUUUAUUACCUUAGAGUUUCUGUGGGUCAAGAGUCUGGGCAUAGCUUAGCCGAGUCCUCUGUUCAGGGUCUCCAAGGCUGGAAUCAAGGUGUCAGCUGGGGCUGGGGUCUGUCUUCUAAGUUCAUUUGGUUGUUGGCAGAAUUCAUUU